rnacentral:rRNA from 1 species
AUUGAACGCUGGCGGCAGGCCUAACACAUGCAAGUCGGGCGAGCGGCGGACGGGUGAGUAAUGUAUGGGGACUGCCUGAUGGCGGGGGAUAACUACUGGAAACGGUAGCUAAUACCGCAUACUAUCGGAUAACCCAUAUGGGAUUAGCUAGUAGGUGGGGGAAAGGCUCACCUAGGCGACGAUAUCUAGCUGGUCUGAGAGGAUGAUCAGCCACACUGGGACUGGGACAAGGCCCAGACUCCUACGGAGGCAGCAGUGGGGGAUAUUGCACAAUGGGGGAAAGCCUGAUGCAGCGACGCCGCGUGGGGGAUGAAGGCUUGCGGGUUGUAAACCUCUUUCGCUAUCGAACGGGUAGGUGGAGAAGAAGCGCCGGCUAACUACGUGCCAGCAGCCGCGGUAAUUC